rnacentral:ncRNA from 1 species
CAAUUGGAGAGUUUGAUCCUGGCUCAGAACGAACGCUGGCGGCGUGCCUAACACAUGCAAGUCGAGGGAGAAAACCCGCAAGGGCGAGUAAACCGGCGAACGGGUGCGUAACACGUGGAUAAUCUACCUUCCUGACUGGGACAACUGGCCGAAAGGCUUGCUAAUACCAGAUAAGCCCACGGGCGCUUUGGCGCCUGAGGGAAAAGGUGGCCUCUGCAUGCAAGCUAUCGCAGGGAGAUGAGUCCGCGGCCCAUCAGCUAGUUGGCGGGGUAAAAGCCCACCAAGGCUACGACGGGUAGCUGGUCUGAGAGG